rnacentral:tRNA from 1 species
AGGGAAGAAGUUUUAUAUAAUAUUUGACCUGCAAUCAAAAGAAGGUAAAUUAACUAUUACCCUGCCCUA